GGGAAUUUUGGGCAAUGGGCGAAAGCCUGACCCAGCAACGCCGCGUGAAGGAUGAAGUUUUUCGGAAUGUAAACUUCGAAAGAAUGGGAAGAAUAAAUGACGGUACCAUUUAUAAGGUCCGGCUCACUACGUUCCAGCAGCCGCGGUAAUACGUAGGGGCCAAGCGUUGUUCGGAUUUACUGGGCGUAAAGGGCGCGUAGGCGGCAAUUCAAGUCAUCUGUGAAAUCUCCGGGCUUAACUCGGAACGGUCAGAUGAUACUGCUUUGCUAGAGUACAGAAGGGGCAAUCGGAAUUCUUGGUGUAGCGGUGAAAUGCGUAGAUAUCAAGAGGAACACCUGAGGUGAAGACGGGUUGCUGGGCUGAUACUGACGCUGAGGCGCGAAAGCUAGGGUAGCAAA
rnacentral:rRNA from 1 species